rnacentral:rRNA from 1 species
GACGAAUGCUGGCGGCGUGCUUAACACAUGCAAGUCGAACGGAAAGGCCCUGCUUUUGUGGGGUGCUCGAGUGGCGAACGGGUGAGUAACACGUGAGUAACCUGCCCUUGACUUUGGGAUAACUUCAGGAAACUGGGGCUAAUACCGGAUAGGAGCUCCUGCUGCAUGGUGGGGGUUGGAAAGUUUCGGCGGUUGGGGAUGGACUCGCGGCUUAUCAGCUUGUUGGUGGGGUAGUGGCUUACCAAGGCUUUGACGGGUAGCCGGCCUGAGAGGGUGACCGGCCACAUUGGGACUGAGAUGCGGCCCAGACUCCUACGGGAGGCAGCAGUGGGGAAUAUUGCACAAUGGGCGGAAGCCUGAUGCAGCAACGCCGCGUGCGGGAUGACGGCCUUCGGGUUGUAAACCGCUUUCGCCUGUGACGAAGCGUGAGUGACGGUAAUGGGUAAAGAAGCACCGGCUAACUACGUG